CACGCAACGGUGGAGGUGCUCAGCUCGUAGUGUAAAAGAAAGCCCACGGAUGAGACGCGUUGGUCUUUGUUAUAAAACAUCAGUACUUAAGGACUGCUAGCCACGAGCGGAGAGGUGAUUUUUGGAAAGCUGGGGGUAGAGAAGGAAAUUCCAGGGUACCUGUGUUGCUUACUGCCACUUUGUGUGAUGAAGGGAGGCAGCAAGUAAUCUUUUGCUCAUAUCACUGCCUGUAGUGGAGCACAAAGAAAACGACAAGACUCCCACAUCUUUCAGUGAGAAGAAAAGAAUCAGCAGAGCAGACUAAUACAGACUUGUGUCUGGUGGCCUUUUUGCACAAAGGCUGCCUUUAAAAGAGAAACACAGUGUUAUUUAAUGAGCUGUGAGAUGAGGCGCUGCUGCUAACACUCAGAUUCCAGGAUUCAUCUGCUAUUCAUUGUGCUUAAUGUACAUGUUUCUACACCGUGCAUUUAGAAGAUCCCAGAGAAGAAUUCAAAACGGCUG
rnacentral:lncRNA from 1 species